rnacentral:rRNA from 1 species
AGCGAACGCUGGCGGCAGGCCUAACACAUGCAAGUCGAACGAACCUUUCGGGGUUAGUGGCGGACGGGUGAGUAACACGUGGGAACGUGCCCUUAGGUUCGGAAUAACUCAGGGAAACUUGUGCUAAUACCGAAUGUGCCCUUCGGGGGAAAGAUUUAUCGCCUUUAGAGCGGCCCGCGUCUGAUUAGCUAGUUGGUUGAGGUAAUGGCUCACCAAGGCGACGAUCAGUAGCUGGUCUGAGAGGAUGAUCAGCCACAUUGGGACUGAGACACGGCCCAGACUCCUACGGGAGGCAGCAGUGGGGAAUCUUGCGCAAUGGGCGAAAGCCUGACGCAGCCAUGCCGCGUGAAUGAUGAAGGUCUUAGGAUUGUAAAAUUCUUUCACCGGGGACGAUAAUGACGGUACCCGGAGAAUAAGCCCCGGCUAACUUCGUG